rnacentral:rRNA from 3 species
AGAGUUUGAUCAUGGCUCAGAUUGAACGCUGGCGGCAUGCUUUACACAUGCAAGUCGAACGGCAGCGGGGGCUUCGGCCUGCCGGCGAGUGGCGAACGGGUGAGUAAUGCAUCGGAACGUGCCCAUGUCGUGGGGGAUAACGUAGCGAAAGCUACGCUAAUACCGCAUACGCCCUGAGGGGGAAAGCGGGGGAUUCUUCGGAACCUCGCGCGAUUGGAGCGGCCGAUGUCGGAUUAGCUAGUANGUGAGGUAAAGGCUCACCUAGGCGACGAUCCGUAGCGGGUCUGAGAGGAUGAUCCGCCACACUGGGACUGAGACACGGCCCAGGAUUCCUACGGGAAGCAGCAGUGGGGAAUUUUGGACAAUGGGCGCAAGCCUGAUCCAGCCAUGCCGCGUGAGUGAAGAAGGCCUUCGGGUUGUAAAGCUCUUUCGGCCGGGAAGAAAUCGUGGUCUCUAACAUAGGCCAUGGAUGACGGUACCGGACUAAGAAGCACCGGCUAACUACGUGCCAGCAGCCGCGGUAAUACGUAGGGUGCGAGCGUUAAUCGGAAUACUGGGCGUAAAGCGUGCGCAGGCGGUUUUGUAAGACAGAUGUGAAAUCCCCGGGCUUAACCUGGGAACUGCGUUUGUGACUGCAAGGCUAGAGUACGGCAGAGGGGGGUGGAAUUCCUGGUGUAGCAGUGAAAUGCGUAGAGAUCAGGAGGAACACCGAUGGCGAAGGCAGCCCCCUGGGCCUGUACUGACGCUCAUGCACGAAAGCGUGGGGAGCAAACAGGAUUAGGAUACCCUGGUAGUCCACGCCCUAAACGAUGUCGACUAGUCGUUCGGAGCAGCAAUGCACUGAGUGACGCAGCUAACGCGUGAAGUCGACCGCCUGGGGAGUUACGGCCGCAAGGUUAAAACUCAAAGGAAUUGACGGGGACCCGCACAAGCGGUGGAUGAUUUGGAUUAAUUCGAUGCAACGCGAAAAACCUUACCUACCCUUGACAUGUCUGGAACCUUGCUGNGAGGCGAGGGUGCCUUCGGGAGCCAGAACACAGGUGCUGCAUGGCUGUCGUCAGCUCGUGUCGUGAGAUGUUGGGUUAAGUCCCGCAACGAGCGCAACCCUUGUCAAUAGUUGCCAUCAUUUGGUUGGGCACUCUAGUGAGACUGCCGGUGACAAACCGGAGGAAGGUGGGGAUGACGUCAAGUCCUCAUGGCCCUUAUGGGUAGGGCUUCACACGUCAUACAAUGGUCGGUACAGAGGGUUGCCAAGCCGCGAGGUGGAGCCAAUCCCUUAAAGCCGAUCGUAGUCCGGAUCGUAGUCUGCAACUCGACUACGUGAAGUCGGAAUCGGUAGUAAUCGCAGAUCAGCAUGCUGCGGUGAAUACGUUCCCGGGUCUUGUACACACCGCCCGUCACACCAUGGGAGUGGGUUUCACCAGAAGUAGGUAGCUUAACCUUCGGGGAGGGCGCUUACCACGGUGAGAUUCAUGACU